AGGGUUCGAUUCUGGCUCAGGACGAACGCUGGCGGCGUGCCUAACACAUGCAAGUCGAACGGUUUGGUUCUCGACACUGGUUGGCUUAGGGAUAGGCCAACGAGUGCUGGGGAUCAGAUAGUGGCGGACGGGUGAGUAACGCGUGAAUGACCUGACCUAUACAGGGGGACAACACAUGGAAACGUGUGCUAAUACCGCAUAGGACUACGGAGCUACAUGGUUUUGAGGUGAAAGGAGCAAUCCGGUAUAGGAGGGGUUCGCGUCCCAUUAGCUAGUUGGUAGGGUAAAGGCCUACCAAGGCGACGAUGGGUAGCCGGACUGAGAGGUUGAACGGCCACACUGGAACUGAGAGACGGUCCAG
rnacentral:rRNA from 1 species